GACGAACGCUGGCGGCGUGCUUAACACAUGCAAGUCGAACGGAAAGGCCCUGCUUUUGUUGGUUUCUCGAGUGGCGCACAGGUGAGUAACACGUGAGUAUCCUGCCCUUGACUUUGGGAUAAAUUCAGGAAACUUGGGCUCAUACCGCAUAGAAUCUCCUGCUCCAUGGGGUUGGUUGGAGAAUUUCGGCGGUAGUGUCUUGACUCGCUGCUUAUCAGCUUGUUUGUGUGGUAGUGGCUGACCAAGGCUUUGACGGGUAGCCGGCAUGAGAGGGUUACCGGCGACAUUGGGACUGAGAGACGGCCCAGACUCCUACGGGAGGCAGCAGGGGGGAAUAUUGCAAAAUGGGCGGAAGCCUGAUGCAGCAACGCCGCGUGCGGGAUGACGGCCUUCGGGUGGUAAACAGCUUUCGAAUGUGACGAAGAGUGAGUGACGGUAAUGGGUAAAGAAGCAACGGCUAACUACGUG
rnacentral:rRNA from 1 species